CUGCUUAAUUGUGGUCUGCCGAUGUAUUUUUCAAACCCAUUUACCUAAUACUGAUCUAUACUCCAAAAACGAAAGUUUCUGGUUUUAAUCCAUAACAACUUUCAGCAGUGGAUGUCUAGGCUCGCACAUCGAUGAAGAACGCUGCGAACUGCGAUACGUAAUGCGAAUUGCAGAAUUCAGUGAGUCAUCGAAAUUUUGAACGCACAUUGCACUUUCGGGUUAUGCCUGGAAGUAUGCCUGUAUCAGUGUCCGUACAUCAAACUUGCCUUUCUUUUUCUGUGUAGUCAGGGAGAGAGAUGGCAGAAUGUGAGGUGUCUCGUUGACUCCCUUUUCGGAGGAGAAGACGCGAGUCCCUUUAAAUGUACGUUCGCUCUUUCUUGUGUCUAAGAUGAAGUGUGAUUCUCGAAUCGCAGUGAUCUGUUUGGAUCGCUUUGCGCAUUUGGGCGACUUCGGUUAGGACAUUAAAGGAAGCAACCUCUAUUGGCGGUAUGUUAGGCUUCGGCCCGACGUUGCAGCUGACGGAGUGUGGUUUUCUGUUCUUUCCUUGAGGUGUACCUGAUUUGUGUGAGGCAAUGGUCUGGGCAAAUGGUUGCUGUGUAGUAGGGUUUUGCUGCUCUUGGGCGCCCUGUUUUCGGAUAGGGUAAA
rnacentral:misc_RNA from 1 species